rnacentral:lncRNA from 1 species
GCACCAUUCUUCUCCAUUCCUUCCUCACAGUCACCUCUCACCCUCACUGUUCGAUAACACCAUGUCGCGAAACUCGAAGACGACUCGCCGGAACCUCAAGCUUAUCACCAGAACCCUUUUCUAGUAGCCGGAGGUUGGAGACAUCGCCGGAGUAACCCGAUGACGCCGCCGGAGCUACUUAACCAUCGGAGCUCAACCGCAAGUUCGUCGGACCGGAGCUUGCCGGAGAAACCCAGUCGCCGCCGGAGAUAGAUCGAUGCUGCCAGAGAUGCGCGAAACACGACACAAAGUCAUCAGAACGUGCGGUUAAUCAUUUUCGUUCGUUCUCUUGGAAUUCUCCAUCCUUACUCUUGCGUUAUUCCACAAGAAAUCGCAACGCAAUCACAGUUGAUUUAUCAAGAUACAAGAAAGCAAG